GACAGGGAACCUUACUGGUAAAUAGCGCAAGUCAGUAGCCAGCUUGGGAAUUACCUGGAACAAGGAAGAGCCUGAAAUGGAUGUCCACGAAGAGGCCCGUCGGCUGUCCGAUGAGGUGUCUGCUAUCAGAGGGAAAUGUGUACUUUUUGAGGAGGAGCGUGAUAUUCGCCAGCUUCAGAUAGUUUAAUUCUGUGGAACUGGAGAGGGUAUAAAUGGGAAAGACCUGAGAGGGUCUGUGGUGGCUGCUGCUCCCCCGGCUGCUCCUGGUUGGUGUUGCUGUGGUUUGUCAGAGAUGAGAAGAAAUUGAACUUGACCUAAGGAACUCAAGGCCCUUCAUCAGCAGGAAGGACUCUAAAGAGACAAAAAGCUCAUAAGGAAUCUUGAUUACAUUCCUGGGGGAACUAAAAUGUGUGUUUGUACAUGUAAAGAGUACAUCGGAUGAGUGUGUUUAGUAAGAGGUGUGACAACAGGAGCCUUCCUAGGGCUUGCUUCUGCCACCCUGGCUCCAGAGUCCUUGAAAAGCUCUGUCUUAAGGGCAUAAGGAGAACGUGAUAGAGUGGGACAUGCGACAUCUUUUACUCCUGUCACCAAGACCUCCAUCCUCCAUGCAGCCUGGACCGGGGGCUCUUUGUAUAUCACUCAACUGAAUACUCUUACAUACAUGCUGUUAGGAGGACUCACCCCUGGUGAUCAUCAGGCUAUCAUGACAACGUGAACAGCUGAUGGACACAUGAGAGACGUGGCAGCCACACUUCGAGCACAGAAAGGAGUUUGUUGCACAGCAAUUACCCUAAUGCAUUUUUAAAAGCAUAAUAAAAUAAAGAAUCAUUUCAUUUGCUGAAAAUGUAUUUUAGGUGCUUCGGUAAAGCAGUAACAGAAUAUUUUGAUUGUCAGGUUACCCCCCACACUUUGAAAGUUAGAUAAUUACAUUUACCAGUUCAAGAAUUGGCAUUUAAAAAUAAUAUUUUGUCUAAAUGUUUAAAGAUGUCUAUUAAAAAUGUAUACCGAACAUGA
ensembl:lincRNA 6430710C18Rik RIKEN cDNA 6430710C18 gene